rnacentral:rRNA from 1 species
AACGAACGCUGGCGGCAUGCCUAACACAUGCAAGUCGAACGCGACCUACGGGUCUAGUGGCGCACGGGUGCGUAACGCGUGGGAACCUGCCCUUAGGUUCGGAAUAACUCCCCGAAAGGGGUGCUAAUACCGGAUAAUCUCUUCGGACCAAAGAUUUAUCGCCUUUGGAUGGGCCCGCGUUGGAUUAGCUAGUUGGUAGGGUAAAAGCCUACCAAGGCGACGAUCCAUAGCUGGUCUGAGAGGAUGAUCAGCCACACUGGGACUGAGACACGGCCCAGACUCCUACGAGAGGCAGCAGUGGGGAAUAUUGGACAAUGGGCGAAAGACUGAUCCAGCAAUGCCGCGUGAGUGAUGAAGGCCUUAGGGUGGUAAAGCUCUUUUACCCGGGAUGAUAAUGACAGUACCGGGAGAAUAAGCUCCGGCUAACUCCGU